CGCCGUGAGCUUUGAAAUCUUGGUUUGCUUGCAUGAGUGAGCUGAUGAGCUGCGUUCUUUGCUGAGUUGGAUGGUGAUCAGUGGCUGAGCUGAUGAUGAGUGUCGUUAUUUUUUUUUAUUUUUUUUCGGAGGUAUAUAAUGGAGGUUCCCGGAGAGGCCAGAAACCGCACAAAGGCCACAUACUAAAUCUGGAGUUGCAUUAUGCAUGGUACUACAUGGAGUACAUCUAUAAGUAUAGGCCUUGUUUAGUUCCGAAAAGUGAAAAGUUUUCGGUACUGUAGCACUUUCGUUUGUU
rnacentral:lncRNA from 1 species